GAAAUGCGAUAAGUAAUGUGAAUUGCAGAAUUCAGUGAAUCAUCGAAUCUUUGAAUGCACAUUGCGCCCGUCAGCAUUCUGGCGGGCAUGCCUGUUCGAGCGUCAUUUCAACCCUCAGGACCCCCCUUUCGCGGGGAGGGACCUGGCGUUGGGGAUCGGCCCGCCCCCCGUGGCGGCGCCGUCCCCGAAAUCUAGUGGCGGUCUCGCUGCAGCCUCCCCUGCGUAGUAGUUACAACCUCGCAUCGGAGCGCGGCGCGGCCACGCCGUAAAACCCCCGACUUUCUGAACGUUGACCUCGGAUCAGGUAGGAAUACCCGCUGAACUUAAGC
rnacentral:misc_RNA from 1 species